rnacentral:rRNA from 1 species
GUAGGGAGCAAACGUUGUCCGGAUUUAUUGGGCGUAAAGGGCUCGUAGGCGGUUCAACAAGUCGGUCGUGAAAGCCCGGGGCUCAACCCCGGGAUGCCGGUCGAAACUGUUGUGACUUGAGUUCGGUAGAGGUGAGUGGAAUUCUCGGUGUAGCGGUGGAAUGCGCAGAUAUCGAGAGGAACACCAUUAGCGAAGGCGGCUCACUGGGCCGAUACUGACGCUGAGGAGCGAAAGCGUGGGGAGCAAACAGGAUUAGAUACCCUGGUAGUCCACGCCGUAAACGAUGAACACUAGGUGUAGCGGAUUUAUUCACGUCUGCUGCGCCGUAGCUAACGCAUUAAGUGUUCCGCCUGGGGAGUACGGCCGCAAGGCUA